rnacentral:rRNA from 1 species
UUUGGUGGCGAUAGCGGAGGGGUUCCACACGUACCCAUCCCGAACACGACCGUUAAGCCCUCCAGCGCCGAUGGUACUUGGACCGCAGGGUCCUGGGAGAGUAGGAC